rnacentral:lncRNA from 1 species
GUCAAAUUCAUUGAUCACAGAUUAUUUCAUCAGUCACAAUUUACUUGUCGAUCACAGAUUUUCAAAUUAUUUGGUCACAAACUAUUUUUUAAUAGCAUAUUAUCAUAUUUUUAGGUGACAAUUAAAUCCUUGAUCACAGAUAACCAAAAAAUUGGUCACAUACACAAAAUAGCAGGUCACAUAUAAUCGCCACUACCACUACGACCACAGUUAAAUACUUGGUCGCAAAUAACCAAAAAUUUGGUCACAUACACUAAAUAGCGAGUCACAUAUCAUCGCCACUAAUACUACUGCCACUGCCACUACGAUCACGGUGAAAUAUUUCAUCACAGAUAACCAAAAAUUUGGUCACGUACACCAAACAAUAGGUCACAUACCAUCACCACCAACACUAACUCCAAACAAAACGCACCACCAUCAGCACCGGUACCACCACCGCCAUUUUGCAACCCACCAUCAACAACCUGCAAUACUACUAUCACAGCACCACCACUAAACAACCACCAACACCACUAGUCCACUACCACCACAACCACCACUAAAAACAAUGAUUUGCAAAACUGAAAACAAUUAAACCACGCACAACUAACAUCAAAACAAUAACAAAAAGAACAUCACAGUCAUCAUUCGGCUUCUCUGAUGCUACGAGCUGCAUUGUGAAAUGGCGCUCAAAGGCGAUCGCAAUGAAAUCACCGGUUGGCGACGCUUGCCAUGUGUAAGGGAGAGUAUAGAGAGAUAGAUAGAGAGGAAGGAGGGGAAGAGGAGGGAAAGACGGAGAUCGCCGCUCAUUGCUCACACGACAAGCUCCGCUAUGAUCCGACAACGACGGCCAUGUGGAGGAAAGAAGAUAGAGAGACUUAGAGAGAGAGGGGAAGAAGAGGAAGGGCACCACUUGUUGUAUCCAUUGUGAUACAGUGACGGUGGCAGCGAUGAGCUCUACUGAUCUGGAGAUGACAGUCGUAGAGAGAAUGACAGCGAGAUGAUGGGGAAAAGACGGGAUGAAGAGGCAUAUAUGGGUGUAAUUUCGACUUUUUGAGCCAACCGUGCUUGCCUUGG